rnacentral:misc_RNA from 1 species
CACUAUUCUUCGGAGUAUUGGCACUGACUUACGUCUUGCCUAAAACACUUGGUGGUAACUAUCAAUCACGCAUAGUAAUCUCUGCGAAGGCUGAUGGGUAAACACCGUAAAACUCUUUUGU